rfam:Rattus norvegicus chromosome 14, whole genome shotgun sequence.
GGAGAGAUGGCUCAGUGGUUAAGAGCACUGGCUGCUCUUCCAGAGGUCCUGAGUUCAAAUCCCAGCAACUACA